rnacentral:rRNA from 1 species
UACGUAGGGUGCUAGCGUUGUCCGGAUUUAUUGGGCGUAAAGAGCUCGUAGGCGGUCUGUCGCGUCGGCUGUGAAAACCCGGAGCUCAACUCCGGGCCUGCAGUCGAUACGGGCAGACUGGAGUUCGGCAGGGGAGACUGGAAUUCCUGGUGUAGCGGUGAAAUGCGCAGAUAUCAGGAGGAACACCGGUGGCGAAGGCGGGUCUCUGGGCCGAUACUGACGCUGAGGAGCGAAAGCGUGGGGAGCAAACAGG